rnacentral:rRNA from 1 species
AGUGAACGCUGGCGAUAGGCCUAACACAUGCCAGUCGAACGGCAGCACAGUAAGCUCUUGCUCUUACGGGUGGCGAGUGGCGGACGGGUGAGGAAUACAUCGGCAUCUACUUUUUCGUGGGGGAUAACGUAGGGAAACUUACGCUAAUACCGCAUACGACCUACGGGUGAAAGCAGGAGAUCUUCGGACCUUGCGCGAUUGAAUUAGCCGAUGCCGGAUUAGCUAGUUGGCGGGGUAAAGGCCCACCAAGGCGACGAUCCGUAGCUGAUCUGAGAGGAUGAUCAGCCACACUGGAACUGAGACACGGUCCAGACUCCUACGGGAGGCAGCAGUGGGGAAUAUUGGACAAUGGGCGAAAGCCUGAUCCAGCCAUACCGCGUGGGUGAAGAAGGCCUUCGGGUUGUAAAGCCCUUUUGUUGGGAAAGAAAAGCAGCAGGUUAAUACCCCGCUGUUCUGACGGUACCCAAAGAAUAAGCACCGGCUAACUUCGUG